rnacentral:rRNA from 1 species
AGCAACAAAUGCCCUGCUUCCAGGAAAAGCCUCUAAGCAUCAGGUAACAUCAAAUCGUACCCCAAACCGACACAGGUGGUCAGGUAGAGAAUACCAAGGCGCUUGAGAGAACUCGGGUGAAGGAACUAGGCAAAAUGGUGCCGUAACUUCGGGAGAAGGCACGCUGACACGUAGGUGAAGUGAUUUACUCAUGGAGCUGAAGUCAGUCGAAGAUACCAGCUGGCUGCAACUGUUUAUUAAAAACACAGCACUGUGCAAACACGAAAGUGGACGUAUACGGUGUGACGCCUGCCCGGUGCCGGAAGGUUAAUUGAUGGGGUCAGCGCAAGCGAAGCUCCUGAUCGAAGCCCCGGUAAACGGCGGCCGUAACUAUAACGGUCCUAAGGUAGCGAAAUUCCUUGUCGGGUAAGUUCCGACCUGCACGAAUGGCGUAAUGAUGGCCAGGCUGUCUCCACCCGAGACUCAGUGAAAUUGAACUCGCUGUGAAGAUGCAGUGUACCCGCGGCAAGACGGAAAGACCCCGUGAACCUUUACUAUAGCUUGACACUGAACAUUGAGCCUUGAUGUGUAGGAUAGGUGGGAGGCUUUGAAGUGUGGACGCCAGUCUGCAUGGAGCCGACCUUGAAAUACCACCCUUUAAUGUUUGAUGUUCUAACGUGGACCCGUUACCCGGGUUGCGGACAGUGUCUGGUGGGUAGUUUGACUGGGGCGGUCUCCUCCUAAAGAGUAACGGAGGAGCACGAAGGUUGGCUAAUCCUGGUCGGACAUCAGGAGGUUAGUGCAAUGGCAUAAGCCAGCUUGACUGCGAGCGUGACGGCGCGAGCAGGUGCGAAAGCAGGUCAUAGUGAUCCGGUGGUUCUGAAUGGAAGGGCCAUCGCUCAACGGAUAAAAGGUACUCCGGGGAUAACAGGCUGAUACCGCCCAAGAGUUCAUAUCGACGGCGGUGUUUGGCACCUCGAUGUCGGCUCAUCACAUCCUGGGGCUGAAGUAGGUCCCAAGGGUAUGGCUGUUCGCCAUUUAAAGUGGUACGCGAGCUGGGUUUAGAACGUCGUGAGACAGUUCGGUCCCUAUCUGCCGUGGGCGCUGGAGAACUGAGGGGGGCUGCUCCUAGUACGAGAGGACCGGAGUGGACGCAUCACUGGUGUUCGGGUUGUCAUGCCAAUGGCACUGCCCGGUAGCUAAAUGCGGAAGAGAUAAGUGCUGAAAGCAUCUAAGCACGAAACUUGCCCCGAGAUGAGUUCUCCCUGAGACUUAAAGUCUCCUGAAGGAACGUUGAAGACGACGACGUUGAUAGGCCGGGUGUGUAAGCGCAGCGAUGCGUUGAGCUAACCGGUACUAAUGAACCGUGAGGCUUAACCUUACAACG